CUUUCUGGUUUCACUCCGUCACGAAACUGCUCUGUCAGCAUAGGUCCUGGAGUGCCAUGGAUAGAGCACCAAGCCAGCUUGGGACAGACAUGAACACAUAUGCACCAAGUAGUAUUGAUAGCUACACUAUGAGUCUUGAAGCCUCAAGAGCAUGGAAGGUUUAUUAUGUUCUACAUGUCAACUUGUGUCAGAAAAACUGUGUGUGUUAUAUAGAAGAAGAGGAGGAUGAAGAAGACGGUUUCCAACAAUGAUCACUAAUCCACAAUUUGGAAAUCCUUAUGAAGUCGUCCACCCUAAGAAGUAGAGCAAAAGAUCCCUCAGCAAAACUGACUGGUGACAUACCUGCAAUAUCAUUAUCCUCGAGGUUCUCUAAGAACACCACCCCCAUCAGCUGUAACAAAAAAAGGUCAACAGCCCACCAAAAUUGAAGUCAAUCAGUUGCACACCACAAAAAUGGACAGAAGUAUAAUUCACAAGCGGGUGAGACGGUUCAGUAGGUAAAGAAACAUCGGAGAAGCUACCCUAUGAAGACUCAUUAACAUGACUGCCUAGACAUGACCUGAACAAGGACAACACCAACAGGUGUGCUAACAAGGAAGGCAGUAAGCUUAUGAAGCCUCCACCCCAGAUAAAGAACUACAGGUAACAAAGAAAUGCUGAGAGCAAGAGAAAUAACUUUGCCAGGGAAGAGCAUCCCCAGCUGGUUAUGCAGGACUAAGAGGUCAGCCCUGGAACUAUAUACAUACAAGUAACAUUAUAAAGACUGAACAAGUUGUAUGUAUGUAUUUAUAAAUAUGUGUAACAAGGAAAUAGACAACAUGAAUUUGAGAGACAGCAAGGCAGAGUACAUGAGCAGGGUUGGAGGGAGUUCUGAAAAUGGAGAAAGUGCUGUAAUUAUAAUCUACUUUCAAAAAUUAAAAAACAAAUAUUUGUACUUAUAUAUGAAAGUGUACAUUGUAUAAAAUUUAAAACAGAGAAUAAAUAAGUAAAAAAUAAAUGACAUUAUAGGAAUGUCAUUUCUUCUCAAAUGGUUGCACACUGGAUAUUGUUUCAUAAAUGUGUCAAACACACCAUUUAAAAACAAUACAACCCAUUGAUUCAAAAGCUGAACUUUAAAUCCCUGAACACAGUUGGGUCUGAGGCUUAACAUCCUGACUCAGCAUUUAUGGUUUUCAUUCACAGCACAUCAGCUAAGGUGAUGUUCCUUCUUAAUAUUUUUGUUUUUAGUUUUCUUCCACCUGCUCUUAUACAAUGUAAAUUAUUCAAAGUAAAAUUUAGAAUGCUUUGCCUGGUUCUUUACAAUAUUCACAAUAAUUUUUUUUUGUUCAUUGUUGAUAGCAUAGCACAGACAGAACAAACCUAAACAGAACUGACUUGUAAAACAUUAAUGUUGUUUUUCAAGGGACAUGUGUCUUUUUCCUUGAGUCUUUCUAUGGUACUAUCAUGUAGAGUUCUAUAUUUUUCUUUAUCAAGUUUAUGACUAUUUCUAAAGACUACUUCUAAGUUUAGAUUAUUUUUUAAUUUAUUUUUUGCAUUUCAAUCCCAGUCCCCCUCCCUCCUCUCCUCCAGCUCCCCUCACCCCCCCCACCUCCCAUCUGUUCCUCAGAGAGGGUAAGGCCUCCGCUAAGAAAUCUACUAAGUCUGUCCCAUCAUCUUGUUGAGGCAGGACCAAGGCAUCUCUCCACCCCCACAUCCCUGUGUCUAGGCUGGGCAAGGUAUCUCUCCAUAUAGAAUGGGCUCCACUGAGUCAGUUUGCACUAAUGUUACAUCUUAGACCCACUGCCAGUGGCCUCAAAUAUUGUCCCAGUCCCAUCACUGUCACCUAUAUUAAGGGAGUCUAGUUCUGACUUAUGCAGGUUCCCCAUUUGUCAGACCUGAGUCAGUGAUCUCUCACUAGCUCGGGUCAGCUGAUUCUGUGGGUUUCCCCACAUGGUCUUGACUCCUUUGUUCUUAUUACAGCUCCUCCCUCAGUUUGAUUGUACUCCAGGAGCUUGGCUCAUUGGACAUAAGUUUAGAUUCCUUUAGUGAUAUAAAGAAAUAAUUUCCCUCUAACUUUACCAUGUGGUAGAUAGCAUGGAGGAUCAGAAUGUUACUGAUGAUAUUAUUUUAUAAUAUAGCCCCAUCUAAUCUUUGUAAUCAUCUACCUUAAUGAAUAUUUUUUAAAAACUUUGUGUAUCAUGUCUUCAAUAUUUUCAAAGAUUGGUUGGCUUUAAAUAGCCUAGGAAACAUCUGGGCCAUCACUGUAAUUUAUUAGAUUUAAGAUAUGAUGGUUGGCUUAAAAUACACAUAAAAACAUACUCUGCCACAAAUAUAUGAAAAGAGAACCCCCCCACCGUCCCAGAUUAGGUCACAUUUCAACUGGAUUUUAUUUUUUGUCUUAUGUGUUUUGCCUGCAUAUAUGAAUGUGCACCACUUGCAUGCCUGGUACCCUCAAAAGUCAAAGGGGAUCUUGAAUUCUUUGGAUCGGAGUUAUGAAGGGUUGAACCACCAUGUCAGUUCUGGGAACCAAACCAAGGUGCUUGGCGAGAACAACAGGUACUCUUAACCACCGAGUCAUUGCUUCAGCUCUUCUGCUCACUUGAAGCAACAACCAAAGCAAGGAUUUCAGUAGAUUCACAAAGCAACCACUGUCUUCGGAGCUCUUCUACUACUGCCUACCUCCCCCCACUCACAGCCUUCAGAGCUCUUCUACUGCUGUCUACCUCCCCUAAAAGCACACAGUUACCCUAGAAGAGGUUCUCAGCAGCCACUCUUUUCAAGUGAGUCUCAAAUAUCAAAUACUGCAGUUCAAAUCUCAGAAAAAGAAAAGCAUAUCCUGUGAUACUUCUGCCCCACUUUCUCCUACUGGGUUUGCAAUGUAUGAUUAACAAUGCACAUAAACUUGGUUGAAGGAGUCUGUGUUUAGAUAAUAAUUCAAAUCCAUUAAAUAUCUCCUUAUGCUUGAUGUUCCAUCAGUGAAACAUCCAGAGGGUUCCUUUUAUAGAAAUAUGAUUUGAUCUGCAAUGUCCUGGAACAUGUUUUUCCAGCUAUUUGACUUGCAGCUUAUGCUAAUUACCAGGCAUUAUAUCAUGAAUUCUGUGGCACACAGAAACAUUUAAACCUAUCUGCCCCUACAAAAGUUAUUGAGGAUGAAUCACAGGAAUUUCUGUAGUAUUCUCUGCAGAUACUAACUAAAUGUUUGUUUUCUUUUUAACUCUUUGCUGUACUGAAUCCCAUUUUCCUUAUGACUUAUUGCUCCCACAUUACCUACAAUUCUGAAACCUUACACUAUUUAUAGCAUCCCAAUAUGACAUAUAAUACCUUGCAAACAGCAAAGAGAAAGUAGCAUUUUGAGUUCUGCAUACUAUCCUAGAUUAAUUGUUUUAAAUGCA
ensembl:lncRNA